CCCUUAGAUGUCCUGGGCUGCACGCGCGCUACACUGAUGUGUCCAGUAAGCACCUAACCUCUUCCGAAAGGAACGGGUAACCUUUGCAAAGCACAUCGUGAUGGGGAUAGAUUAUUGCAAUUAUUAGUCUUGAACGAGGAAUUCCUAGUAAGCACAAGUCAUCAGCUUGUGUUGAUUACGUCCCUGCCCUUUGUACACACCGCCCGUCGCUCCUACCGAUUGAAUGUUCCGGUGAGCUCGUCGGACUGCGCGGUCUGCAGUUUCUGCGUUCCGUGCGGAAAGUUGCGCAAACCUUAACAUUUAGAGGAAGGAGAAGUCGUAACA
rnacentral:rRNA from 1 species